rnacentral:lncRNA from 1 species
CUGGUGCUAUGAUUGUAAUGAAAAGUCUGCUCAGUGACAAGGGGAUGCCACACAGGCCUCCGAACCCUGGAAGUAGAUUCCACCGCAGAGUAGGAUGGCGGACCAUUUUCUUUAUUCCUCAGCCCCUGCCUCCCACUGUGAAGGCUGAAUGUGCAGAUAACACCUGGAGAGACCAGAGUGGCUACAGACCUGAAGGCUCCGGGAAAAGUCUCCCUCUCAUCAUCCCCUCCCUUCCUGUUACCACAGGCUUUCUGAGUUCAGAUCAUGGCUCUGUUUUGGAGAGAAGUUGGGAACUGCUACACAGAGCCAUUACACACUGA